rnacentral:rRNA from 1 species
AUGAACGCUAGCUACAGGCUUAACACAUGCAAGUCGAGGGGCAGCAUGGUCUUAGCUUGCUAAGGCUGAUGGCGACCGGCGCACGGGUGAGUAACACGUAUCCAACCUGCCGUCUACUCUUGGCCAGCCUUCUGAAAGGAAGAUUAAUCCAGGAUGGCAUCAUGAGUUCACAUGUCCGCAUGAUUAAAGGUAUUUUCCGGUAGACGAUGGGGAUGCGUUCCAUUAGAUAGUAGGCGGGGUAACGGCCCACCUAGUCAACGAUGGAUAGGGGUUCUGAGAGGAAGGUCCCCCACAUUGGAACUGAGACACGGUCCAAACUCCUACGGGAGGCAGCAGUGAGGAAUAUUGGUCAAUGGGCGAUGGCCUGAACCAGCCAAGUAGCGUGAAGGAUGACUGCCCUAUGGGUUGUAAACUUCUUUUAUAAAGGAAUAAAGUCGGGUAUGCAUACCCGUUUGCAUGUACUUUAUGAAUAAGGAUCGGCUAACUCCGUGCCAGCAGCCGCGGUAAUACGGAGGAUUCGAGCGUUAUCCGGAUUUAUUGGGUUUAAAGGGAGCGUAGAUGGAUGUUUAAGUCAGUUGUGAAAGUUUGCGGCUCAACCGUAAAAUUGCAGUUGAUACUGGAUGUCUUGAGUGCAGUUGAGGCAGGCGGAAUUCGUGGUGUAGCGGUGAAAUGCUUAGAUAUCACGAAGAACUCCGAUUGCGAAGGCAGCCUGCUAAGCUGCAACUGACAUUGAGGCUCGAAAGUGUGGGUAUCAAACAGGAUUAGAUACCCUGGUAGUCCACACGGUAAACGAUGAAUACUCGCUGUUUGCGAUAUACGGCAAGCGGCCAAGCGAAAGCGUUAAGUAUUCCACCUGGGGAGUACGCCGGCAACGGUGAAACUCAAAGGAAUUGACGGGGGCCCGCACAAGCAGUGGAGUAUGUGGUUUAAUUCGACGCAACGCGAAGAACCUUACCAGGGCUUGACAUAUACAGGAAUAUAUAAGAGAUUAUAUAGCUCUUCGGAGUCUGUAUACAGGUGGUGCAUGGUUGUCGUCAGCUCGUGUCGUGAGAUGUUGGGUUAAGUCCCGCAACGAGCGCAACCCUUAUUGCCAGUUACUACGCAAGAGGACUCUGGCGAGACUGCCGUUGACAAAACGGAGGAAGGUGGGGAUGACGUCAAAUCAGCACGGCCCUUACGUCCGGGGCUACACACGUGUUACAAUGGGGGGUACAGAGGGCCGCUACCACGCGAGUGGAUGCCAAUCCCUAAAACCCCUCUCAGUUCGGACUGGAGUCUGCAACCCGACUCCACGAAGCUGGAUUCGCUAGUAAUCGCGCAUCAGCCACGGCGCGGUGAAUACGUUCCCGGGCCUUGUACACACCGCCCGUCAAGCCAUGGGAGCCGGGGGUACCUGAAGUGCGUAACCGCGAGGAUCGCCCUAGGGUAAAACUGGUGACUGGGGCU